GAAAUUCUCCCAUAGUUGAUCGUUAUAAAACUGAGGGUCUAUCUCAAAUUACAGUGGAUUCUGGCAAUAUGAAUGUACGUUAUAAAACUAAUUAGUCUAUGCAAACUUUAUCGCAAAUGGUCAAUAGAACAGUUAAACUAAAGAUAAAGAAAAAACAAUACACCACCAUUUGCGCGCUAUAUGAUAAAUUCAAGAAUUGCUUAGUACUGAUACACUAUCAAAUACUAAUAAAGACACUUGCUUUGGUGAGGAAGAAUGCAGAAGGAAGCUAUCUCUGAAUAUCAGCAUUAUUGUCUUCAUAUACUAGUUCUCUCCAUGUUGUUGAACAUUCAGCUCUGCCCCUGCAUAUAAAAAAGGAAGAACAGACAUGUCAAUUACCAAUCACAAAGUUCCAAGGAAUAUCGAUUAAAUGACUUAACUAAAAUAUACGUAUUGACAAGGUACCAACCGAGGUCUUCCCCAAUCCCAGGGCCACAUACUUUGUAUUUACCUUCUAAUUAUGGCCUGCAAUUCUCUUCUCCUUUGCUCAAUUCUUCUUCUCCAUGGUAACAUAACCACUACCCUUCUUACUCUUUUUGUCAGUUUUCUUCUCAUUCUUCUUCCUUUCACCCUCCUGUUCACCACCUUCUUUCCCAACUGUUUCGUCACUGCUCUUCUUCUUAUUCUAAUUGUCUUCUUCCUCUUCAAGUUUUCUACCCAUUUUCCCCACCAUUUCUUCACACCACCCAUCUUCUU
rnacentral:lncRNA from 1 species